AUUGAACGCUGGCGGCAGGCCUAACACAUGCAAGUCGAACGAGUGGCGGACGGGUGAGUAAUGUCUGGGAAACUGCCUGAUGGAGGGGGAUAACUACUGGAAACGGUAGCUAAUACCGCAUACCAUCGGAUGUGCCCAGAUGGGAUUAGCUAGUAGGUUGGGUAACGGCUCACCUAGGCGACGAUCCCUAGCUGGUCUGAGAGGAUGACCAGCAACACUGGAACUGAGCCACGGUCCAGACUCCUACGGGGUGCAGCGGUGGGGAAUAUGGCGAAAUGGGCGCAAGCCUGAUACAGCCAUGUCGCGUGUAUGAAGAAGGCCUUCGGGUUGUAAAGUACUUUCAGCGGGGAGGCGUUACCCGCAGAAGAAGCACCGGCUAACUCCGUGCCAGCAGCCGCGGUAAUAC
rnacentral:rRNA from 1 species